rnacentral:rRNA from 1 species
GUGGGGAAUAUUGGACAAUGGGCGAAAGCCUGAUCCAGCCAUGCUGCGUGUGUGAAGAAGGUCUUCGGAUUGUAAAGCACUUUAAGUUGGGAGGAAGGGCAGUAAGUUAAUACCUUGCUGUUUUGACGUUACCAACAGAAUAAGCACCGGCUAACUUCGUGCCAGCAGCCGCGGUAAUACGAAGGGUGCAAGCGUUAAUCGGAAUUACUGGGCGUAAAGCGCGCGUAGGUGGUUUUGUAAGUUGGAGGUGAAAUCCCCGGGCUCAACCUGGGAACUGCCUCCAAAACUGCAUGACUAGAGUACGGUAGAGGGUAGUGGAAUUUCCUGUGUAGCGGUGAAAUGCGUAGAUAUAGGAAGGAACACCAGUGGCGAAGGCGACUACCUGGACUGAUACUGACACUGAGGUGCGAAAGCGUGGGGAGCAAACAGGAUUAGAAACCCCGGUAGUCC